GGUAAUAAACACCAGUUUUCAUCACCAGUGCUGGGUUCUUUAGAGGUUCUUUUUGCAGCCUCUUGAUCUGGAGAGCUCAUAGGGCUUCUUCCUGACCAUCACAAGAACAUAGUAUGUUUGGUAACUAUGUAUGGUGACAGAUGUUCACUAGACUUAAUUGUGCUGAUCAUUUCACAACAUACAUACAAAUAUUGAGUCAUUGUGUGUGUCAGUUAUGCCUCAAUCAAUAAGUAGGUAAGUAAAAACAGAGAAACAAAACCUGACUUCAUUUGUUUGUCAGAUCUGUAUCUAACAGGGUUGUGCCAGCUGCUGGGGGUACCGGAAGAGAUGGGUGUCUGUGGCGUGGACCCUGAUGAAGCCAUCACCCUGCAUGUGCCUGGCCACAGUGGUGGCCGGUGUCACCCGGAGCCUGAUGCAGCCAGGAGGGCACGGAGGAGUGGCCGUGUGGCUGGUGGCCGAGGGGUGCUCCCUGGGCAGGGAUUCGGAGGUCCCCAGAGCGGUGCACACUGUGGGUCCUGGGGGUGGUUGUGGAGAGAGCCUGUGGAAGCCCAGGCUCAGCGCAUGGAGGGCAGGGUGCAACCUGGGCCAAGUGUCUGGGGCCAGAGCAGCAGAGUGAGUCCCAGCAGGUGACAGGAAGCCAGUGGGUUGGGAGGACAGAAAGGGGUCCGGGGAUCAAGGGAACAGACUUUAAGGAGAAAAAUAGAGCAUUUUCACUCUCAUUUCAGCAAGUUUAAGAGAUUUAUGAGAUGCCCAUGGCAAGAGACAUGCUAGCUGAGCAGUUCCCACUGCUUCUUGCUUGUGGACUGGGCCAUCAUCUGGGAAGUCAGAAAUGUCCUGCGUCUCCAGAAUUCCAGAGGUCCUCCCUGCCCAGGGCUCGCUUGACUCUCAGCUCCUACGAGCACAGAUGGUGCCUUCUCAGGGCCUUGGAGCUUCUGCUUUUCGCCAGCUUUGGUGUCCCCAGCCCGGCCCGGGGGCUUGAGGGAGGGGCUCUCAUGCCUGCGAGGGUCAUGUGCCCCGGGGAUGGGGAACCACGAAGUCCUGGGGGAUCACACGCACCGUGAACCUGCUAUAGCCUGCUGCGGAUGUUUAAAUGGUGCAUUUCAUGGUAGGGGACGAGAUCUUGCGUUUUCAUAAAUCUAGGAAUUCACUAUGGCUUGGGUCAGAAACCCUCUUCACCCUCCUCUCUCGAAUCAGGAGGAGCCGCCCUUCCCAACUGUCUGUGAAGAUCAAGGAGGACAACGUGCUUGACAACCCUCUCCCCAGCGGACUGCUCCUUGUUGCGGUGGUUUGGGCCAGGCUUGCUCGGCCUGUGCCGGCUGCCGGCGCUCCUCUACCACCCCGAAGAGAAAAUCAGGAACACGGCCUCAGGCUCUUGCGCUCCGAGGAUCAGAACUGGGGGCUGCCGCAGCACUAGCGGAGGCUGCGCUGAUGGUGGCCGCUGGUGGUGGCAGGGGUGCCAUGAGCCACACUCGUGAAUCACUGCUGGGCUUGGCUCUCGGCUGUGACUCAGCCUGAAACUUUGUUCUGCUAACAGGAAGCCAGUAACCAGCAGAGUCAAAAGCUUGUAGGAAACUCUGGAUUGGAAACCACUGGCUGUUUUUAAGCUCCUGUUUCUACAACAAAAAGGGAAAUCAUCAGAUAGAAGUUCCCUCUGUCUCCUUCGAUGCAGAAGAACCAGAUUGGCAGAAGGCUAUUGUGAGCCGGGCUCUUGGGAGAGUAAAAAACCGGACAGGAGUUUACAAAAACAGGAAGCUGGCAGGGAAAACCAUCGGAAUUAUGUAAAUUAAACAGUGGGCCUGGGAUGCAGGUGGCAGCCUGCCUGUUGGGAAGCUCUGGGAACUGAGAAUGGGAACAGCCAGGUCAGGGAGUGCGGAGCACCCAUGGGAGGAGGCUGUGAGGCAGGGGUGAAGUGUGGGGUGUGGAGCCCCAGGCAGUGUGACCUAUGGGGCAGCCGGGGCACUCUCUGGGCACAUUAGGAGGAGAUGAAGAUGCUUACCUUCCUCGUGGAUGUGGGGACGGAGCCACGUGAGCUCUGCAGGCCUCUUGCCGGCCUCCGGAAGGCCCUGGAAGGCUCUAGAACUCUGGGAGCUGCCAGGACAGGUGCUCCCACCAGGGACGGGGAGCUGGGAGCCUCAUGAUUUAGUUGGUGACUCACAAACUUUUGGGAGUGGGGACGCUUUUUUAUGGCUUCUUGUUUUGGGUGUAUUCUUUUCCCCACUCUGUAAAUGUAUGGUUAAUCUAAAAGUUAAUGAAAGGGAACUUUGUUUUAGUUUUUAAAAUAAAAAGACUCUCCUGUUCUUA